ACGGAAGGCAGCAGUGGGGAAUAUUGCACAAUGGGGGAAACCCUGAUGCAGCGACGCCGCGUGAGGGAUGAAGUAUUUCGGUACGUAAAGCUCUAUCAGCAGGGAAGAUAAUGACGGUACCUGACUAAGAAGCCCCGUCUAACUACGUGCCAGCAGCCGCGGUAAUACGUAGGGGGCAGGCGUUAUCCGGAUUUACUGGGUGUAAAGGGAGUGUAGGUGGCCUGGCAAGCAAGAUGUGAAAGCCCGCGGCUCAAACGCGGGACUGCAUUUGGAACUGUUAGGCUUGAGUGCAGGAGAGGAAAGUGGAAUUCCUAGUGUAGCGGUGAAAUGCGUAGAUAUUAGGAGGAACACCAGUGGCGAAGGCGGCUUUCUGGACUGUAACUGACACUGAGGCUCGAAAGCGUGGGGAGCAAACAGGAUUAGAUACCCUGGUA
rnacentral:rRNA from 1 species